rfam:Myotis brandtii contig307526, whole genome shotgun sequence.
GGCGGUUCUCAGGUGAUGCACCCCAGAAUCGGGCUCCCUCCUCUCUGGUUCUGGGUGCGUCACCUGAGAACUGCA